AUUGAACGCUGGCGGCAUGCUUUACACAUGCAAGUCGAACGGUAACAGGCCGCAAGGUGCUGACGAGUGGCGAACGGGUGAGUAAUGCAUCGGAACGUGCCCAGUCGUGGGGGAUAACGCAGCGAAAGCUGCGCUAACACCGCAUACGAUCUAUGGAUGAAAGCGGGGGACCGUAAGGCCUCGCGCGAUUGGAGCGGCCGAUGUCAGAUUAGGUAGUUGGUGGGGUAAAGGCUCACCAAGCCAACGAUCUGUAGCUGGUCUGAGAGGACGACCAGCCACACUGGGACUGAGACACGGCCCAGACUCCUACGGGAGGCAGCAGUGGGGAAUUUUGGACAAUGGGCGCAAGCCUGAUCCAGCAAUGCCGCGUGCAGGAAGAAGGCCUUCGGGUUGUAAACUGCUUUAGUACGGAACGAAACGGUCCUGGUUAAUACCCGGGGCUAAUGACGGUACCGUAAGAAUAAGCACCGGCUAACUACGUGCCAGCCGCCGCGGUAAAAC
rnacentral:rRNA from 1 species